rnacentral:rRNA from 1 species
UACGAAGGGGACUAGCGUUGUUCGGAAUUACUGGGCGUAAAGCGCACGUAGGCGGAUUUGUAAGUCAGGGGUGAAAUCCCGGGGCUCAACCUCGGAACUGCCUUUGAUACUGCAAAUCUCGAGUCCGAUAGAGGUGGGUGGAAUUCCUAGUGUAGAGGUGAAAUUCGUAGAUAUUAGGAAGAACACCAGUGGCGAAGGCGACUUACUGGACGAUUGUUGACGCUGAGGUGCGAAAGCGUGGGGAGCAAACAGG